AGGGCCUAAUACCCAGUGUCUUCCUGCGGCAAGUUUUCACUCCUUCCUGGGAGCUCUCACCGCCGUGCGCUCGGGUCACCAUAAGUGCACUUAAAUCCCGGCCACCGGCCCCAAGUCCUCAUCCUCCCCGCCAACUGUAUUGCUUUGGCAUCCUCUCAGAACUGGCAUGAUCAGAGAGGAUGAACACUUUUAUGGCUCUCAAUACAGUUCCAUGGCAGGAUUUAAAGGACUGGCCUCAUGAUGAUGUACUGAGUGAGCCUUGAUUGUUGCUUGUGGGAUUAUGCACUGAUUAACUCACAGGUCCCUGCAGUUGUCGUGUUGGGUAAGUUUGCUUCGCUUACUGAAAGCCUUGCCCUAUUCAAACAGAAAUUUGGAUCUAAUUGAAAAUUUGUCUUUUCCAGACUCGAAUAACCUUCAAUUUUCCAGUUGCCAUCGAGUGUACUCUGACUCAUGGUGACCCUAUGUGCAUCAGAGUAGAACUGUGCUCCACAGGGUUUUCAAUGGCUUAUUUUUCAGAAGUAGAUUGCCAGACCUUUCUUUCUAGGCACCUAUGGAUGCACUCUUCCAGCCUCGUGGUUAGCAGCCGAGUAUGUUAGUUGUUUGCAGUACCCAGGGCUGAUCCUAAAAUAGCUUCAGCUAUUUUUUACUAAAAACAUUUUUCUGGUUUUCCUCAAUGAUCUUUUUCCUGAAGUUUAUCUUGCAUCUCUCUCUAAAGUUUAGAAUCCCUUCACUGAAUCACCAUUAAUGAGAUCUUAGAGCUGCCUCAGCCAUUGCAUUUCUCAUUCCAAAGUUUUCACUUGUUUGAAGUGUUGAGAGUGCAUGAAAUCAUAGAAGUGAUAUGAAUCUAUGAUGUAGAUUCUGAAAAGAACUAGUUUUCACUAGAACACUUUCACUUCCACUGGAGAAUCUUACUAUCCUUAUUUUUUAUACAUAACUAAUCUUGUCUUGAAUGUUAUUGUGUUAAGAGGGCAAAAGUGUGUAGUUUUCAUGAUCAGAAUUAUCAUUUUUUAUGAAGACAUGCUCAUGAUAGUUUGUUACAAAGAAGGAUGCAAAAUUGGAUAUAGUAAGAUCCCAAUUUUGUAACAACUAAGAAUUAAAACAAAACAUAUAUACAUGCUUAAGAAACUAGCAGAAUAUCUAUAAAAUAUUAACACUGGUUAUCUCUGGAAAAUGGAAUUAUGAUAUGAAUAAAAUUUAUUUACUUCUUAAAUUUUUCCCCUCAAAUUUUUUUCCAUUUUUUUAAUUUUUGUAAUUAAAUGAAGUUUAUAUUUCAAGUUCAUCUCCCCUACAAAAAUUUUUUUUUUA